AAUCAACGCUGGCGGCGUGCCUAACACAUGCAAGUCGAACGCGAGAGUCCCGCAAGGGACAAUUGAGUGGCAAACGGGUGAGUAACACGUGGGUGACCUGCCUUCGAGUGGGGGAUAACGUCCCGAAAGGGACGCUAAUACCGCAUGACAUCCUGCCCUUGGACAGGCGGAGAUCAAAGCCGGGGAUCGCAAGACCCUGGCGCUUGAAGAGGGGCCCGCGUCUGAUUAGCAGUUGGUGAGGUAACGGCUCACCAAGGCGACGAUCAGUAUCCGGCCUGAGAGGGCGGACGGACACACUGGGACUGAGACACGGCCCAGGACUCCUACGGGAGGCAGCAGUGGGGAAUUGUUCGCAAUGGGCGCAAGCCUGACGACGCAACGCCGCGUGGAGGACGAAGAUCUUCGGGUCGUAAACUCCUGUCGAGUGGAAAGAAUAAUUCGGGGAUGAAUACUCCCGGAAUUGACGGUACCACUAAAGGAAGCCCCGGCUAACUCCGUGCCAGCCGCCGCCGUAAC
rnacentral:rRNA from 1 species